CCGCGCUCUGCCUUCGGGGGUCGGGAGGCGCCUGGCUGGGAGGAUUGUGGUGCUGAUCCGCCUUGAAUGGUAGCGGGCACCUCGCGAGAUGCUCAGUGCCGUUCUAGGCGCUGUACCUCACAGAACCAUUCGAGUCCUUGGAAGUGUUUCGGUAACAAAACGAGGAGAGCGAGGUUUCAAUUCCAGUUAGGCAGCCGUUAGUUCUCCAUAAAUGGAGCAGUGGUUGAAAUGCCAGCAGCCGUGUUGUGGAGAGCGGCUGACACAGCCUCACAGCAGUGGGGAGACGUGGGGAGGCACGGCAGUCCUGAUGCCGCAGGAGGUGACCGUCCCUCCGCACUGGCACUGAGUGGUGUGAAACUUGUGAGGUGAACUGGAGACAGCUGAAGCAAUCCUGCUGGCAAGUUGCAAAAGCUGAUCUGCCUUCUGUGAGCCACCCUGAGAGUUACUGAAACAUCUCUGCUUUAGCAGAACCAACAUGUAAGCUGAACGCCUCGAGCACUGCUACAAUGCCCUGGAGGACUCAACAAGCCUGAACAAGAAGUAGCACUUAGCCUUCCUGCUGCACCAUGUACCCCUGCAAGUUUUUGGUAGCUUCCUCGUAGGAUUUGGUUUUGACAGAGCCUGGGUACCGUGUGCUUUAGCUCUGCAAAAACAAAAAUCACAAUUACAGAGCAAAGCAGUGUUACCAGCAUCUCCAGUGUUUUGAGUAGAUACCAAAGGUUAAUGUUCGCUUAUCUGCAGUCACACCCAGGCAAUUCCAGCAAGGAGCAACAAUUCAGCUGGCUUCUCUCAUGGUGGCCAGUGUUUCUGUGUUGAGACUGUGUAUCCCCUAGCCCCUGUCCUAGGAGCUGCCACAGGGCCAUGAGCUUUGCAGGAAGGAAGAGAGGCUACAGUGGUCUUGUACUUCUUGAGCUAUGUAAGUGAGAGAAUGCUCAGUCUGGAAAAAUUAUAUAAAGGGUUGUUUCUGUUUCUUCAUAUGGCCUUUCCGACAUGGAAUGAGAGGAAUGUUUACCUUCUAUUUUCUGCACUCAUGGCAGAGCCACUCUUUGAUUCCUCACUCCUUUUUGUCUUCUUUAAGGUUGACAGCAAAGGACUGGAAUUGAGUUGUUUAUGACUGUUAGUCACUAUGUCCAUGAGAGGAAAUUACUUUUUUAUUAUUUGAUGGCACUGUGCACUCAAGUUCAUUUCUCAGCAUUAUCCCAUUAAGGGAGAUCUGGCCAACAGCUUUUCAACACUCCCCCGCAUCAGGACAAAUUUCCAUCAUGGAGUUCUGAUGAGAGAUCCGACAGCCAGUUUGUCUUCAAGCUUCUCCUUGACAGCCAGGAAAUGAGUAAGUGCAAAUACUGCAUAUACUGCAUAACUGCACUUCCAACUCUGUAAUGCUUACUUUUUACCUUCUGUUUAAGUGGGUUGAAAACCCAGGUAUUCAGAUAAAAUGUGUAACAGUACAGAGACUUGAGAGCACUUUGACACAACAGCUUUUAAAGAGCGCAUGGACCAGCACUCUGAAUUUCUCAGAAAGCUCCCACAACCCACACUGCACAUGUUACGCCUUCUGGAAGGACUGAUGCAAGCAGCCCUCUCUCAUCCUGUGCUGGGAAGUGCCAGGGCUCCACACCUGGCCCUGCCAGCAGCCCUGUUGGAUCAGGGAGCAGGGAAGGGACAUAAUGAGCCUCUGGCUGCCAAUGAAAGCUCACUCCCGCUACAUAUUUGCCAAAAACUAUUCCUCACUCUACAACUCAAGCCAGAGUGACAUGAAAGCAAGGAUGUCCAGAGAGACAGUGGCUGCCAGACACUAGCUGUGAUUAAUCCCAAGAAAUUUGGGAAGAGCCAGAGCCAUAUUCUAAUUACACUACUGUUGCCUAGACACCACGUGGGUAGCAGGGAAGAGGAUCUGUGUUUAGGAAACUGUCUCCUUGCUCCACCUGAACUCUGAACUGCUGAGACUGUUGCAGACACACUGCUGAAAUAUAGCAACUUGAGCUGAUUCUAGUUUGGACAUCAGUUUUAAAGUUCUCAUUAGCUAUAUAGAAAACUAGUCUCGACCUUCAUUAUGGUGAUAGAGGUGCUGGCAAAAGGGAACACACUCUCGUUGUUAACCAGAAAUGGAUACUGGUAUUUCCAGUCCUUCUUCUGAGACUGUCUUAACUUGCAAGAAGGUAAUGAUUGAGAUUCAUCCUUCAUCUUUAUAUUCUCUACUGGAGAAGAAAAGAGGGGGUGAAAAACAGCGUUAAUAGUCUGGCCAUGAAAUUGUUUCCUCAGUAAAGUCAACGGUGUUUCAGCUUUCCAGUUGCAAUGAGAAGUGAUGUCUACAAUAACAAUUUAUGAGAAAACGUCACUGGGGAGAACUGUGACCAACUCGUUUUCUGUCACUUUUGCAGGAUGUUGUACCAGUGCACUGUUUAACUAGCCCCAACAAAAAUGCAUUAAUUUAAUUUCAGCUUCUUAAUUACCACUAUUAAUCUAUUGCUUCCUGAGACUCGCACUGCUACAGCAUGCCUACGUGCAUACUUUUUUGUGCCUGUAGGCAAUGCUGUUCUCAGGUGGCAACAGGCAUCUGUUUUAUCACUUCUUGGCAGCCAGAAUACAGCAAGUCUGGAGGAGAAUCAGGCCCUCCCUUUGCUUGGAUAGCAACUAGAGCACCAUUAUUUGAGAAGGGAAAAAUUGCCUGAAGCUGUGUUGAAAGCUCUUGUCUUUAUUAGUGGAAGUAUUAAUGUUUCCCAACAUGCUCUGAAUUUAUAGUCAAGUAUUUUGCCUUCAGUUUGGAGUUGCUUGUAAAAGCUGCCUGCUGCAGAAGCUGGGGUAUAGCCCUACAGUUUGAAAGAUGUCCUCAGGCUGACUGGAGUUAGAGCCCUCAUUCUUCUCUAGAGGGGAGCAAGUUCAUCUGUGAAAAGUAAGAGAACCUAAUACAGAGCUUAACACAGAUAAAGCACCACCAAAUAUUGUCACCAUUCCUCAGAAAGGUUAAAUGUCCUAAAGUCAUAUAGUAGGAAUCAAAAAGACUGGAUCAUGCCUAAAACGCAACGCAUACGAGACCAAGUUCCUAAGCAGUUCUAGCCAUAGACCUCUCCAUCAAGUUAAACAGAUUGCUACCUACUUAGAUCUGGAGCUUAUUUUUAAGCCCAGAGAGAGCAGUGAUAGCCAGGAGGGAAGGCAGAGCUGCACCUAGCCCAGGGCUUUAAGACAUUUGCAGCUAAAUCACAUCUGUAGUCCACUGGUAGACUGAUUUGAAUGGGAAGAAUGGAAUAAGAUGAGUAAGUAGCUCUGUGAGUAAGGAUACCAAGAUCUGGCCUUCUAGAUUUAAUACUUUAAUCUGUCCAAAUGUAUCACUGCUGUAAUUACAGCCACAGCACAGUCCUUGAGUAGCUCAAGAUUAGAGACCAUUGAUAAUCCCAGCUGUGUCACACAGAUGAAAGCUAUUAAGUGGAUUUACAGAGGACAUGAGGUAUAUAGAAACUCAUUAUUUUCCCACUGAGACAAAACUAUUCAUUAGUAUAUGACAGAGAGCACACUCUGGAAAAUUGGAAGUGGGUUAUUGAAAAUGAGCGUAUCCCAAUAGUCCUAACACAUACGUGAUGAACUGGUUAUUAAUAUUCAAUCCAGCAAGCUCUGUCACUAAGGUUGAGUCCCAUUCCUGAUGGUAAGUCUGCAUGCCCUAGAUGGUACUGAUCUGCAGCGUAAGAAAAAGUAACUCUAAAAUCCAGGAUCAUAUUGCAGUCAAUGCAAAUUUCAGGCAGGAGGGUGUUGAUUUAAGUUCACACAUGCAAAAUCAACAGUAGAGUUCAUUUUAAAAUGUUACUUCAGCCAUCUCCACUGCAGCUGAUACAUUAAUUAUGCCACAAUUUUAUUAAUUCGGUCUUUAAAGGCUCCCUUGCGAAAUCUUGUGCGAACAAUUACAGUAAGCAACUGCUCUGGUUUGAUGUGGUUUCACUGCACCUGCUGUCCCCAGGCUGUACUAGUUAAUUGUUCUUGUUUAUCCCACCCUACUCUUCUCUAGUGAUUUGCUUGGCACCGCAAAGACAGCUCACACCACUUAUAAAGCGCUGUUUAUUCCUGGCAGCCAGAAGUUGAAGAUGUGCCUCUUUUCUUGCUAUGAGCUGCAGCCCACUUAAAACAGCUGGAGGGGAAGUGAGCAGAUGUUCAGCUGUGCUAAGAGGUCUGAUUACCGUUGCAGCGUGGAGGAAAAGCAAACACACAAAAAACAUACCUGCAGUUUGUCCCAAGUCCUGUGUCUGCAUAUUUACCUUUGAGAGGCAUAGCUGUAGGUCUUGUCUGUUCUUCAGGAGCUUUCCAGGAAAAAUAACACGGUAGGAGUUCCUGUUUGUGCUGACCUCCCAGGACCAGGGAUUAGGAGCUGCAGUUUCAAGGCUGCUAGUAAAGGAUUUGGGUACUGAAUAGUCUAACCAUGAAGCACCUGUUUUCUAGGGUGUGGGUAGCAAGUCCAGGCAUCUUAUUCGAGGGCAGGGAGAAGCCUCAGGUGGGAAGUCUCACUAGCCAACCCACUGAGUCCUGGGAAGCUGCAGCCACCACAAGGCUGAAAACACUGUGUGGAGAGAUGUCUUCAAGCUCUCCUUCAUUUCAUAGAUGAACAGAAAGGGAGGCAAAUGCUUCAAUUCUGCUAACAUUAGAUGGAAGUCCUGGUACCUUGGACUGUCCCCCUCCUCAACCACUUUCUAACUGUCCAAGCUGUAAAUCACAUAGCAUUUUUCUAAAGUGAAGUGAACAUAAGGCCAAAACAAACAAACAAACAAACAAACCCAAAAUCAAAAUAAAAACAUAUUUGGCAUUUCACUCUGGCAUGGAGUUGGGACUGAGAAUAUCUUUGAAGUCCAACAGCCUAUAGGAACAGCUUCAAAUUGUGACAGAAAGCAAGAUUAUCUUUGAACCAGAAAACUCGUUGUGGGGAAGUCUUUACAGUGAUACAGCAUCCUUAUGAAUUCCAACAUACUGUUUGGGUUGCCAGCAGACAGAAAGUAAGUAAGACAACUGCUGGGUUUGCACCAAUGGAAGACAGUAUUUACAUUAACAUCAAAGGCUGUACCUCAUCCCUUUACUCAUGGACAGGUACAGCAUCAAACAUGUCUUCUCUGCACCUGGAAAUAGCUGCAUAUUCUGACAUGUGCAGUCCAGGUGAGCCAGCCAGCAUUUACAGGAGCUACUACAGUGCAUGCACCUUUACAGCAAAAGCACGUUAAGCAGUGGAGGAAAUACAAGGUAUAAAAACUCUCUUUCCUUCUUCCUUCAUUCCCACUCUAUCUCAGUGCUCAUGCUGAAAGAGUGGUACAAAGGAUUCUCACAGCUAUGGCAGAGAUGAACAAAUGGCUGGUACUGUGACCCACAGGGGUGUGCCAUGCCUAUGUCCAAGCAUGUCCUGAAGUGUUAACUUAGUACAAAGAGAGGAUAUUUUUAUUGAUAAACAUUAUAUUGUCUUAGUGUAGAUGUCGGACACAUUAUUAAAUCAAAUGACAAAACACUGAA